GUGGGGAAUAUUGGACAAUGGGCGCAAGCCUGAUCCAGCCAUGCCGCGUGAGUGAUGAAGGCCUUAGGGUUGUAAAGCUCUUUCGUCAGGGAAGAUAAUGACGGUACCUGAAGAAGAAGCCCCGGCUAACUUCGUGCCAGCAGCCGCGGUAAUACGAAGGGGGCUAGCGUUGCUCGGAAUCACUGGGCGUAAAGCGCACGUAGGCGGCUUUCUAAGUCAGGGGUGAAAUCCUGGAGCUCAACUCCAGAACUGCCUUUGAUACUGGAGAGCUUGAGUUCGGGAGAGGUGAGUGGAACUGCGAGUGUAGAGGUGAAAUUCGUAGAUAUUCGCAAGAACACCAGUGGCGAAGGCGGCUCACUGGCCCGAUACUGACGCUGAGGUGCGAAAGCGUGGGGAGCAAACAGGAUUAGAUACCCGAGUAGUCC
rnacentral:rRNA from 1 species